UUCUGAUUUUAUGCUCAGGAUACAUAAACAUACAAGGGCCAAAGGUGGAGCAUGACCUAAAUUUGUAAAAAAAAAUGUUCAUAGUGUAGUAUGAAAACAAAAAUGCACUACAUGGAAGAAUAAGUAGUUGUGCCAGAGUCAGUCAUGCUACUGUCUUAUCAUGUUCUUUAUUCACAAGCUGGUGGAAUUCAACCCGGUUACUCACAUUUGAUCCAACAUUGCUUUAUAAUUGAUGAUGAAGUGGGAGAAAGAAAUUGAAAAAAAGAUUUCAACAUGAAAAAAUGAAUAGAUUUUUUUUUUCAUUGUGGAAAGAGAUUAAUUUUCACAUACUCGGUUUUAUGUUACAGAUCACUGGCACAGCAGUAUGGAGAAGCUUGUAUGAAAGCUGUCUGCACAAGCCCAGCUCAACUCACUGCUAAAAGUUAUUAAUUCUUUUAGAAAUUUUUAGAAAGAAAAUGAAGAACUUGCUCAGACAUAUCCUUUCUGAUGUUUUUGGAACAUUGUGUGCCACAGAUGUGGCCAGGAAAAAACUAAGAGUUCCAUCAUUUAGGACUAUUCCCAAAUCAGGUUGGAUUGAGCUUUAAAUUACAUGAAUUCCUUCAGCAAAAAUUCUAAGGCCUGACCAGACCAGAAGGACAUACAUUAAUAAUAGUGAUAAGCUCCUUUCUGCAGCCAGUUUGUAAAUCUGGAUCCAACGUUACUAGGCCAAUAGCAAUGUUGUGAAUGAAGUUAUUGUGUUGAAUCUGUCUAUGGAGCAUGCUGUUCUUGUGCCAUGCCAUUCCUCCAGUAGACUCCAUCAGCUGCCAGGCAAGAGGAGUUCAUGUCUGUAGAGAGCGAGAUGCCAACCCUGCCUGACACUGGUUUAGAGAUUGUGAUAAAAGAGAAGGGAAAAAACACCAAAUGAGCACAUGGGUUAAUGGCUGCUAUUUUAGUCUCUUGGGGACACUGCCAGCUGCCAUUAAGUCAAAGUAGCCCUCAGGCUCUACUUGGUUUCAUGAUGAAUAAUUUAGGCUUUCCUGGUGCAGAGCCGGUUGCAUUGGCUUUGUAUGAUAGAUUCUACAGAUCUCCACUGUGAGCACAGGAGUGUAAGUAUAUGGUGUCACAUAUGGGUGUGAUGGAUCAACCUCCUGUGUUCUGUUCAACAGCAACUGCAAUAAUCUUUAUGAACUAGAGAGUCUGUAUAUCCUUACAGAUGUCCUCCUUCAGAUCUGGAUAGUUUGGUUUUGUGGGACUUAUUGCCAGUCAAAAUAUUCUUUGAUAUCAAUUUAUUUUAAGGGGUCAAUAAUGGGACUGGACAUUUUUCUACCCACUGAAAAAAAGUAGUGCAUAUCUGAAUAAAUAACUCAAAGUGGCUUCUUACUGUUCAGGAAGUACAAUCAAUUUGAAAUUAGGAUUAUGGAAACAUCUGUGUAAAUUCAAGUGUCAUCUCAAUUUGGGCUCAUUCAGGUCCUGUAUUUUUUCUACUUCCCAAGCAGUGCAUUUAAAAUCUAAUCCUAAUUAACACACAUAGUUUAAUUAUAGCCAACAAAAUAUUCUCCUAAAAUUGUAUGUGGUAGCUGGGGUUUGGGUAUGGAGGGAGGAGGCAAGGAGGGAACAAAUGUUCACUGAUUGUAAAAAUCCUUAUUUUGUUAGUAAUAUAUAUCUUUAAAGGCUUUAAACAUACAAUGAAAUUUUCCUCCUGUAAAUGAAAGUGGCAUAAAAAGUGUGAAGCAAGCACUCAUACUCUCUUUUUCUCCUUACUCAUUUCUUGGUAAUUUGAAACGAAGGAACUGCACUGGAAUUUAAAACUUUCUUUUGAAUCAAUUUCCUCAUAACUUAUCACAUAAAAUGUACAAUGCUGCUGCCGGUAGAAACAAAUAAAUCAAUUUAGGAUGUCAUGGAUAGAUCUUGGGAAGAUUUGAAAUUUGAGACGAGUACUGGAAAAGCUGGGGUGGUCUGUCACUACAAACUUUGUUGUACAUCAGCAGAACUCUUUGGCAUUACUGGGUGGCUUGGAGGUCCUAUGAGAUUUUCAAUACUUCUGAAUUGUUUUGGCACAAAAAGUCUGAAAAUGGAAACAUCAUAUUAGGCUUUUUCAGAAUGCUGACAUUCCUGGACCAGAUCUCAGAGUACAAAGUAUCCCAGCUCAGGGAUACGGUAACCCUUCAUGAGCAGCACUCAGAAGGUUUUUGCUUGAGGAUCUGUUUACCCUGCAGUCAAACUUCUUGCCUGUGCCCUUGAGUGUACUUUGAGUCCACUCAAAGUCCAGCCCCCCUGGUUCCCCAGCACAGUGUUUCGUGUCCACCAGGUCCACCACAAUAUUUGCACAGUCACUUAGAGUUCUGUUCUGGCCACUGGUAAGAUAUUUUUUUCACAGAGGUAUUGGGAAAAAGUUUUUGGAUGAUAUAAUGGGAAGCAAGAAACGUUAGCCUAGUACUUCACUGAAAACAAAACUGUACCCAAUUAUUAACUUCCUCUAAGUCAGACCAUUUCUGCUUUGUUGUGCUUUUGUUUGAGGCUCUCUUAAUAUAUUUCAUGUCACAGAGAGUUAAAUCCUACAAUGGCAAAUGUCCUCAAACUUUGAUCAGCACUACUUCUUGUGCAUUUCCAGGCUCUUGCUGUUUUGUCAUUUACAUACAUCUUUCUACUGCAUAUUCUGUGUGAAAAAGUCUUUCACAAGGUUGUCCUAGUGGUCAUGUGGCAAUAAAAGUUGAUGGAUCUAGACUUCUUAUUGAUGUCUUUCUAAGAGGUGUCAAGAUCAGCAUUUUUCCUGUCCUAACAGUAAACUAAAAGAGAAUGCAGCAGCCUUGGCUUGACAAGGUCAGAUAUUUUUUCACUUCAUAAAAAGAAAAAGGAGAUUAAAAUAAAAAAUGGACUUGGUAACAUUUUUUAAUAUGUCGCUUUCUGUCAAACACGACAAUGGAAACAAUGAAUGACUAAUUUUUUUCUCCUUUUUGGGUCAGAUUUAUUUCUGCUUUCAGCAGGAAGAGGUUAAUUAUAAGGUCAGAUGAUCUGUAUUUCCUAUUUUUUUUUUUUUUUAAGAGUGAGUUAGGAGAUUAGGAGACAUAAUUUCUCUAAGAAUGAGUUAAACUCAGCUAUAAAGUAAGGCUAAGAGCUUAAUGUGGACAAAAUUUGGACCAACAAAUUAAAUUAAAAUAGAAGAGUAUUAUUACAGAAAUGGACCUUUUCCUCAGCUGGUUCCCAUACGCUCCUUUGCACUGUAUCUACUUGACUGAAGGUGCUGUGUUGAAAGAGAAGUAGGAAGAAUGCCUGAAAGGGAUCAACCAUUGCUUUUGUGAACAAAUACCAGCAAUUAAGCUAGACAUUUUUGUAUGUAGAGGGAAUAAAACUUGUGAAUUGUAGUACUACUGCUUCAUUCCUCUGCCUCAAGAUUCUGGGGAUGGACUGGUGUUGAAGGUGACUUAAAAUGCACUUAAAUAAGUGCAAAGAGAGAUCAGUUAUCUGCUGUUUUGUCUGAAUUAUGAAUACUCCUAGGUGGAAGUCAUUCCCAUGCCUUCUAGAAUAUCAGUGCUACGUGGCUACUUCAUGUCUAUCCAGAGUAAGGUAUGGGGGCAAAUUUCACUUGCAAUUCUGAAAUAUCUAAUCUUAGAAGCUUCUGUCAGCUCAGAGGAGAGCAGCUGGUUUGUUUCAUAGGACAGGUGAAAGUACAUGAUUCCUACCUUAGUGUCUCUGUACAGAAAUGUCAGAAACAUCAGGAGUUUGGUCUUAGUAUUUUAAAUCUUUAUGUAUGGGAUUUAACCAACUUAAUGAAGGGAACCAUUCCAUCUUCCCUAAUCAGAGUAGGUCAGCAGAAGAAAGACAUCCAGCAGCACCUGACAAUCAAGUCAAGGCUGUCUCUUUCAGAUAUCAUGGGGAAAGAACAUGGAUGCAAGAUGAUACUUAAUUGCCCACAGCAGGGGAACCUGACUAAAGGACCUGGGACUGAGCACAGCCUUAGCCUUGCUACUCUAAGAUCAGAAUCAUUAAGGAGGCAGUGCACCAGCUGUGUCUUUCUCGAAGCUAUCCUAAGAACAGUCUUUCUUCCCUACACACAUAGUGAGGUGAUUCCCUAUGGCUCUUCAUCAACUUGUUGGUUCUUAAACCGACCCUUAGCUUUUUGCCCUAGAUAUUUCUCAGCUUUUCUCAGUUAGUAACUAUUCAGAGAAAGAAUAAAGCUGUAAUUAUUCUUAACUUUAAAUCAUAGAUGUGGUAUUAUGUGCGCCAAGAAUGACAUGGGAUAAAAAUUGAGCUGGAAAUAUACACUGCAGCAAAAUUGUGGAAAGCUAACAAAAAAUAAUAAAAUAAAUUGCACAGCUACACA